UACGAAGGGGGCUAGCGUUGCCCGGAAUUACUGGGCGUAAAGGGCGCGUAGGCGGCACUGUUAGUCAGGCGUGAAAGUCCUGGGCUUAACCUGGGAACUGCGCUUGAUACGGCAGAGCUAGAGGAUGGAAGAGGGUCGCGGAAUUCCCAGUGUAGAGGUGAAAUUCGUAGAUAUUGGGAAGAACACCGGUGGCGAAGGCGGCGACCUGGUCCAUUACUGACGCUGAGGCGCGACAGCGUGGGGAGCAAACAGG
rnacentral:rRNA from 1 species